UACGUGAGGGGCGAACGUUGUUCGGUGUCACUGGGCUUAAAGGGCGCGUAGGUGGCUGCGUAAGUAAGGUGUGAAAGCCCUCGGCUUACCCGGGGAAUUGCGCCUUAUACUGCGUGGCUUGAGGAUUUCAGGGGAAAGGGGAACUCCGAGUGUAGCGGUGAAAUGCGCAGAUAUUCGGGGGAAGGCCGGCGGCGAAGGCGAGUCCCUGGACAACUCCUGACACUGAGGCACGAAAGCUAGGGGAGCAAACAGG
rnacentral:rRNA from 1 species